rnacentral:rRNA from 1 species
UACGAAGGGUGCUAGCGUUGUUCGGAAUCACUGGGCGUAAAGCGUGCGUAGGCGGCCAAUCAAGUCAGAGGUGAAAUGCCCAGGCUCAACCUGGGAACUGCCUUUGAAACUGGUUUGCUUGAGUGUCGGAGGGGAUAGCGGAAUUCCUAAUGUAGCGGUGAAAUGCGUAGAUAUUAGGAGGAACACCGGUGGCGAAGGCGGCUAUCUGGACGACAACUGACGCUGAGGCACGAAAGCGUGGGGAUCAAACAGG